GACAGAGGAUGCGAACGUUGCUCGGAAUUACUGGGCGUAAAGGGCGCGUAGGCGGUCGUGACAAGUCACUUGUGAAAUCUCCGGGCUUAACUCGGAACGGUCAAGUGAUACUGUCGGACUAGAGUACAGAAGGGGCAACUGGAAUUCUCGGUGUAGCGGUGAAAUGCGUAGAUAUCGAGAGGAACACCUGCGGCGAAGGCGGGUUGCUGGGCUGAUACUGACGCUGAGGCGCGAAAGCCAGGGGAGCGAACGGG
rnacentral:rRNA from 1 species